CACGUCGCUGGGCAAAGUCCGUCGCAAGGCGUGGCUCGUUUGGCUCGUGCUAGUUUUGGGUAAUGGCCCUGCACUUUACGGUGUGGGACAACCGUUCCCAAUCAUUUACUUUGAAAAAAUUAGAGUGUUCAAAGCAGGCGUAAGCCAUUGAAUAUUAGAAGCAUGGGAUAAUAGAAUAUGACAUUGGUCUUAUUUUGUUGGUUUCUAAGGCUGAUGUA
rnacentral:rRNA from 1 species